rnacentral:rRNA from 1 species
UACGGGGGGGGCGAGCGUUGUUCGGAAUUAUUGGGCGUAAAGGGUGCGUAGGCGGCCUGACAAGUCUGAUGUGAAAUCCCUGGGCUCAACCCAGGGCCUGCAUCGGAAACUGUCGGGCUUGAGUAUGGGAGAGGUGAGUGGAAUUUCCGGUGUAGCGGUGAAAUGCGUAGAUAUCGGAAGGAACACCUGUGGCGAAAGCGGCUCACUGGACCAUUACUGACGCUGAGGCACGAAAGCUAGGGGAGCAAACAGG